rnacentral:rRNA from 1 species
CCUACGGGAGGCAGCAGUGAGGAAUAUUGGUCAAUGGGCGGAAGCCUGAACCAGCCAAGUCGCGUGAGGGAAUAAGGCCCUACGGGUCGUAAACCUCUUUUGCCGGGGAGCAAGGGCCGGGUCGAGUCCCGGUCCGGAGAGUACCCGGAGAAAAAGCAUCGGCUAACUCCGUGCCAGCAGCCGCGGUAAUACGGAGGAUGCGAGCGUUAUCCGGAUUUAUUGGGUUUAAGGGGUGCGUAGGCGGGCUUUUAAGUCAGAGGUAAAAAUUCGGGGCUCAACCCCGUCCGGCCGUUGAAACUGGGGCCUUGAGUGGGCGAGAAGAAGGCGGAAUGCGUGGUGUAUCGGUGAAAUGCAUAGAUAUCACGCAGAACCCCGAUUGCGAAGGCAGCCUUCCGGCGCCCUACUGACGCUGAGGCACGAAAGUGCGGGGAUCGAACAGGAUUAGAUACCCCAGUAGUC